CCUACGGGUGGCAGCAGUGGGGAAUAUUGGGCAAUGGGCGCAAGCCUGACCCAGCAACGCCGCGUGAAGGAAGAAGGCUUUCGGGUUGUAAACUUCUUUUAAGAGGGAAGAGCAGAAGGCGGUACCUCUUGAAUAAGCCACGGCUAACUACGUGCCAGCAGCCGCGGUAAUACGUAGGUGGCACGCGUUGUCCGGAUUUACUGGGUGUAAAGGGCGUGUAGCCGGGCUGACAAGUCAGAUGUGAAAUCCGGGGGCUCAACCCUCGAACUGCUUUUGAAACUGUUGGGCUGGAGUAUAGGAGAGGCAGGCGGAAUUCCUAGUGUAGCGGUGAAAUGCGUAGAGAUUAGGAGGAACACCAGUGGCGAAGGCGGCCUGCUGGACGGUAACUGACGGUGAGGCGCGAAAGCGUGGGGAGCAAACAGGAUUAGAUACCCUGGUAGUC
rnacentral:rRNA from 1 species